GACGAACGCUGGCGGCGUGCUUAACACAUGCAAGUCGAACGGAAAGGCCCUGCUUUUGUGGGGUGCUCGAGUGGCGAACGGGUGAGUAACACGUGAGUAACCUGCCCUUGACUUCGGGAUAACUUCAGGAAACUGGGGCUAAUACCGGAUAGGAGCUCCUGCUGCAUGGUGGGGGUUGGAAAGUUUCGGCGGUUGGGGAUGGACUCGCGGCUUAUCAGCUUGUUGGUGGGGUAGUGGCUUACCAAGGCUUUGACGGGUAGCCGGCCUGAGAGGGUGACCGGCCACAUUGGGACUGAGAUACGGCCCAGACUCCUACGGGAGGCAGCAGUGGGGAAUAUUGCACAAUGGGCGGAAGCCUGAUGCAGCAACGCCGCGUGCGGGAUGACGGCCUUCGGGUUGUAAACCGCUUUCGCCUGUGACGAAGCGUGAGUGACGGUAAUGGGUAAAGAAGCACCGGCUAACUACGUGCCAGCAGCCGCGGUGAUACGUAGGGUGCGAGCGUUGUCCGGAUUUAUUGGGCGUAAAGGGCUCGUAGGUGGUUGAUCGCGUCGGAAGUGUAAUCUUGGGGCUUAACCCUGAGCGUGCUUUCGAUACGGGUUGACUUGAGGAAGGUAGGGGAGAAUGGAAUUCCUGGUGGAGCGGUGGAAUGCGCAGAUAUCAGGAGGAACACCAGUGGCGAAGGCGGUUCUCUGGGCCUUUCCUGACGCUGAGGAGCGAAAGCGUGGGGAGCGAACAGGCUUAGAUACCCUGGUAGUCCACGCUGUAAACGGUGGGUACUAGGUGUGGGGUCCAUUCCACGGGUUCCGUGCCGUAGCUAACGCUUUAAGUACCCCGCCUGGGGAGUACGGCCGCAAGGCUAAAACUCAAAGGAAUUGACGGGGCCCCGCACAAGCGGCGGAGCAUGCGGAUUAAUUCGAUGCAACGCGUAGAACCUUACCUGGGUUUGACAUGGAUCGGGAGUGCUCAGAGAUGGGUGUGCCUCUUUUGGGGUCGGUUCACAGGUGGUGCAUGGCUGUCGUCAGCUCGUGUCGUGAGAUGUUGGGUUAAGUCCCGCAACGAGCGCAACCCUUGUUCACUGUUGCCAGCACGUUAUGGUGGGGACUCAGUGGAGACCGCCGGGGUCAACUCGGAGGAAGGUGGGGAUGACGUCAAGUCAUCAUGCCCCUUAUGUCCAGGGCUUCACGCAUGCUACAAUGGCUGGUACAGAGAGUGGCGAGCCUGUGAGGGUGAGCGAAUCUCGGAAAGCCGGUCUCAGUUCGGAUUGGGGUCUGCAACUCGACCUCAUGAAGUCGGAGUCGCUAGUAAUCGCAGAUCAGCAACGCUGCGGUGAAUACGUUCCCGGG
rnacentral:rRNA from 1 species